rnacentral:rRNA from 1 species
UGGGGAAUAUUGGACAAUGGGCGAAAGCCUGAUCCAGCCAUGCCGCGUGAGUGACGAAGGCCUUAGGGUUGUAAAACUCUUUCGUCGGGGACGAUAAUGACGGUACCCGAAGAAGAAGCUCCGGCUAACUUCGUGCCAGCAGCCGCGGUAAUACGAAGGGAGCUAGCGUUGUUCGGAAUCACUGGGCGUAAAGCGCACGUAGGCGGAUAGUUAAGUCAGGGGUGAAAUCCUGGGGCUCAACCCCAGAACUGCCUUUGAUACUGGCUGUCUCGAGGUCGAGAGAGGUUGGUGGAAUUCCUAGUGUAGAGGUGAAAUUCGUAGAUAUUAGGAAGAACACCGGUGGCGAAGGCGGCUCACUGGCUCGAUACUGACACUGAGGUGCGAAAGCGUGGGGAGCAAACAGGAUUAGAUACCCCCGUAGUCCCUGAGCGGGCUGGCAAGGCGCAU